CUUUCUUUAACUAAUUAGUUGUGGGUCAGUGGGCUCCAGCAUUUAUUUCUUCACGUGAUAGUUUUAGUCUUUCUCAAUCUACAGAAGUCACAUAGAGCUGAACUCACUGGCUCCAUCCUUAUGCACCUGCUGUAUAAUUGGUCACUUCUGUGUCAUCUAUAAAAUGCUUUCACCAUCCUGAGGGGGAGGAGGCCAGAGCUUCAGGGAGAUUCCACAGGACAAAGCCUGAGGUGUGAUAUUUUCCACUCACAUGACCCUCCGUCCUCUUGUCCUUCCUGCCGCAGAGCCCCUGCCCCUUCCCCAGAUCAGGACCACGAAUCUGUCCAUCACCCCAGGCUGGUGCAACGUCACUGUGCAGUGUGACACCCCGGGAACCAGGGAGGACCUGAUCAUGUCCUGGGAGAGCAGGGGACUCCCCUGGGAGCUGGAACAACGAGAGGCCGCAGGACCAGCCCACAGCCCCUGGACCCUGGCUCUGAGCCUGCCCCUGAGCCAGCCCAACGCCAGCCUCACCUGUGUGCUCAGGAACCAGGUGGACCAGAAAACUGCAACCUUGGACCUUGGGGACAUCUGUGGCCACGAUCCACAGGGACAGGCUGAUGCCUCCCAACUACCCAGCAUCCUGGGGACUGUUGUGGUCCUGCUGCUGAUCCUGGGAGCUGGACUGUUCCUCUGGAGGACACGAGUGAAGAAGAGCCUGGAGCCUGGGAGAGGCAGGUUGCACUUCUCCUCCCCGGGCCCACACACCUCCCUCCCCUGGACCCUGGACUCCCUUCCUCCUGCC
rnacentral:lncRNA from 1 species